rnacentral:lncRNA from 1 species
GAAAAUCUGUUAUGAGUAUGUUAGGAUUAGGAAUAUAUACUUCAGCUUAAUCCACACUUAAUCACAAUUAGCAGAAAUGAAGCGAAAUUAGUGAAAAAUGAGUUGUGUGUACAGAAUUUGGAAAAUAAUCAACUUAACAACCAAAAGACAGCCUCACACAGUGAAAAAUACUCAAAAAACUGAAUUUUCGCGCGAGCGGUCGACUCAUAGCCUGCUAUGCGUCGACCAUAGGCUGCUAUGCGUCGACCAUAGGCUGCUAUGCGUCGACCCGAGGCCUAUGCGCUGACCCUUAUGGUCGACCAUAGCCUGCUAUGCGCUGACCCGUGGUCUAUGCGCUGACCCCUAUGGUCGACCAUAGGUCAGCUCAAAAAANAAUGAUAUACAAAUGCAAUACAUGCUUGGUGAUCAAGAAACACACUCAUAAGGUAUCCCACCCACUAGGAGGGAAGCUAGGGUAUGCAAUG